CCGACUUUAGCUCAGUUGGAAGAGCAUCAGACUGUAAUUUGUUACCUGCCUUCCUUGGGCAAUUAUGUAAUCUGGGUGUCGUCUGUUCGAACCAGACAAGUCGGA